GUGCUCGCUUUGGCACCACAUAUACUAAAAUUGGAAUGAUACAGAGGUUAGCAUGGCCCCUGCGCAAGGAUGAAAUGCAAAUUUGUGAAGCAUUCCAUAUUUUU